rnacentral:rRNA from 1 species
CCUACGGGAGGCAGCAGUGGGGAAUAUUCGGCAAUGGAGGCAACUCUUACCCAGCAAUGCCGCGUGAAUGAAGAAGGUCUUCGGAUUGUAAAGUUCUGUAAUUAGAGACGAAAAAAAUGACGAUACCCAAGUAAUAAGCCCCGGCUAACUACGUGCCAGCAGCCGCGGUAAUACGUAGGGGGCAAGCGUGGUUCGGGAUGAGUGUGCGUAAAGGGUGUGUAGGCGGUGUAGCAAGUUAGAAGUGAAAUACCUAGAGCUUAACUCAGGUGCUGCUUCUAAAACUGCUAUACUUGAGUGCAGUAGAGGAGAGUGGAAUUCCAAGUGUAGCGGUGGAAUGCGUAGAUAUUAGGAGGAACAUCAGUGGCGAAGGCGACUUUCUGGACUGUAACUGACGCUGAGGCACGAAAGCGUGGGGAGCAAACAGGAUUAGAUACCCGAGUAGUC